rnacentral:rRNA from 1 species
GACGAACGCUGGCGGCGUGCUUAACACAUGCAAGUCGAACGGAAAGGCCCUGCUUGCAGGGUACUCGAGUGGCGAACGGGUGAGUAACACGUGGGUGAUCUGCCCUGCACUUCGGGAUAAGCCUGGGAAACUGGGUCUAAUACCGGAUAGGGGCCAUUUUUAGUGUGAUGGUUGGAAAGUUUUUUCGGUGUAGGAUGAGCUCGCGGCCUAUCAGCUUGUUGGUGGGGUAAUGGCCUACCAAGGCGGCGACGGGUAGCCGGCCUGAGAGGGUGGACGGCCACAUUGGGACUGAGAUACGGCCCAGACUCCUACGGGAGGCAGCAGUGGGGAAUAUUGCACAAUGGGUGCAAGCCUGAUGCAGCGACGCCGCGUGGGGGAUGACGGCCUUCGGGUUGUAAACUCCUUUCGCUAGGGACGAAGCUUUUUGUGACGGUACCUAGAUAAGAAGCACCGGCUAACUACGUG